rnacentral:tRNA from 1 species
GGUGGAGUGACCGAGAGGCAAGGUAACGACUUGCAACGCCGUGCACGCGGGUUCGACUCCUGCCUCCACCUCAA